rnacentral:tRNA from 1 species
AGCGGGAUAGCUGCUUCGUAUCUAGCGCGAGGAUUGAAAAUCCUUGUGUCGGUGGUUCGAUUCCGCCCCGGGCCACCA